rnacentral:rRNA from 1 species
AGUGAACGCUGGCGGUAGGCCUAACACAUGCAAGUCGAACGGCAGCACAGUAAGAGCUUGCUCUUACGGGUGGCGAGUGGCGGACGGGUGAGGAAUACAUCGGAAUCUACUUUUUCGUGGGGGAUAACGUAGGGAAACUUACGCUAAUACCUCAUACGACCUACGGGUGAAAGCAGGGGAUCUUCGGACCUUGCGCGUUUGAAUGAGCCGAUGUCGGAUUAGCUAGUUGGCGGGGGAAAGGCCCACCAAGGCGACGAUCCGUAGCUGGUCUGAGAGGAUGAUCAGCCACACUGGAACUGAGACACGGUCCAGACUCCUACGGGAGGCAGCAGUGGGGAAUAUUGGACAAUGGGCGCAAGCCUGAUCCAGCCAUACCGCGUGGGUGAAGAAGGCCUUCGGGUUGUAAAGCCCUUUUGUUGGGAAAGAAAAGCAGCAGGUUAAUACCCCGCUGUUCUGACGGUACCCAAAGAAUAAGCACCGGCUAACUUCGUG